rnacentral:lncRNA from 1 species
AAAGUUGAAUGCAAGUGUAUCAUGUGUGGAGAAGAACCCUCUAGUUAGUCUAUCACCCAUCAAUUUACUUAAUUCUGUCUAAAAAUCUGUUUACAUUGUUCUUGCUUUGUUUUAUUUAUUUUCGUCCAAAAUCAACCCCAUCUUAUUUCUUUGAGUCAUAUUAACUAGAACUUGUCUUAGAAUGUGUUUUUAGGUGUUUUAGGUCAUUAGAAAACCAAAAUUCGUCCAAGUUGUGUUAGAGUCCCAAAACUGCCCAGAAAGUGGUUUUUAGGCAGUUUUGAGUCUUUUGGUUUGUUUUAGUGUUUUAGAGUUUAGUUUUGCAUUCUUUGAGUCUAGUUU